AUCUAAGGUUAUAUCUUAUUUACUUUUAUCUUUUUCAGGUGCAAUGUGUACUUUAUCUGAGGUUAUUGGUAAUUUAUUUUAAAUUCUCUUUUUAUUUACCUUGCUUAUGCAAGCUCUUGAGAGUUUAGUAUCAUAAGUUAGUUUAAGUAAAACUUUUAAUUUAUAUUCUAUAGAUACACACCUAUAGUGUGUGUUAAGUAGUUUGGUUUGCAUAAAAGCAAUGAACUGUUUUUUAAUCUGUAGAACCAGGCGAGAGAGAGACUCUGUCUUAACUUAUAAUAAUAACUUUAGUUAACCUAGCUUAAUUUAAGUUUCAUUAUUUAAAAAACCCCUUUGGGGUGUACCUUUUUACUAAUAUGUUCCUUUUACGCAAGAUGGAAUGGAAUGGAAUGGCAUGCCGUUGUGGCAUGUUCUUGCAACAUACAUCCUAUAUGUAUUAUCUAAAAAUGACAGCUUACUAAGACAAAUAAUUGACUAAUUUAUAUUUACAGGGUUUAUGAAAAAUCUUGUACAUUUUAUUUUUCCUGCUCACCCUUUGCAUCUAAUAUCUCCUUUUCUUUUACCAUUGUAUACUAGUAUAUCUUUAUUAGUAUUAACAUCCUAUCCUGCUAUGCGUAAAAAUAAGGCUUUAAGUAUAGAAACUGUUUUUGCAAUUUUUAAUUCUUUUUUUAAAAAUAAUGCCGACAACAUACCUAAACCUUAUAAAUUUACAACUAAUUCCAUGGAAUCUAAUGUAGAAUUUACACAAAUUCUUACCGACCUAGGUGCAUAUUUACCUCAGCUUGGUCAAUUUAUAAUUCAAUUUAACGAUGUAGUUACUAGAAACGGUAUAAAUGUAAUAACUGAUUCUGUAGGAAAUAUGAGUAUGGACGUACCUAGUGAAAUGUCGGAUGCAUUAGCUAACAAUUUAAGCAAAAGAUUAGGUAUUAUCGACCGUUUAAUUACUCAACGAGGUCAAGAAAUAAACGAAUUAUUGCUUAAAGGCUUAGAAUUAGAAAAGAAUUUAAAAUUAGAAAAUCCUGACUAUGUUUCCCCUUUAACUGAGAAAAUUAAUGAGUUUAAGAGAUUAAAUAGUAUAUAUAAACAUUAAUAGUUAUAUAUCAUAUAAGGUACUUAAUAGUCCUUAUGUUUAAUAACUAUAACAAGUUAUGUAUGAUUUAUUAUGUAGUGGACUUGUAUUUACUAUACUUAUAAAUAAGUAUCUAUCUAAGCUUACCAUUAUUUACUUUUACUCUAGUGUAUGUAAAUACCUAGUUAAAGUGGUAGUGGAAGUGGAAGUGGAAGUGGUAGUGGUAGUGGUAGUAUGUAUACUACCUACUAGUAUGUAUACUACCUACUAGUGGUAGUGCAAAUACUAGUAAUUUUUCCAGAAAUUCUGGUGGCGAUAACGAUCCUGAUACGCUUGAUAAGGCGGGAUUUUUAUUUUAAUAAUAAGGUAACUUAUUUUAAAUCCACUUAAGCUAUUUUAUUAUAUUUAUAAUUUAUAUAUGUUUAUAUAUAUUAUAAAUAUAUUUAUAUGCUAUUAAAUAGUAUAUAUUAGUAUAAGAUAAAAAAAAAAUUUUUGUCGCUAGCGGGGCUAGCUGAGCUUGCGUAAAACCUGUUAAGCAGUAAUCUUGCUUUAUUAAUAUAGUUAUUUUGUUAUAGCUAUUGCUAUAACAAAAAUUAUUAUCAUGGAGCAAUACAUUACUUUUAAGGGUAGCAUUACCUUUGCCAUAAUCGUUUGUAAAGUAUAGUAAUAAUUAUAUUGAUAGUUAUAUCGUUAGUAGGGUUAUCAUUUAAUCGAUAGUUAAACAGCUAAUAAUAAUGAUAGUUAUCACAAUAGUUAUAUAUCUAAUUAUAGCGGUAUUAACUGAUAUUAAUAUCACUAGUCAGAACAAGAGUUCUAAUGAUAGUAAAAUGUAUAGUUAAUCCGUUAAGGAUGGUGAUAGUUAUUCCGAUAAUAAUAUUGCUAGUUAUAACGAGAGUUAUUUGGUAAAUAUUACGCUAGUGCUAGAUAUAACGCUAGUUAUAAUGAUAGUAUGGUCAUUAGUUAAAUCGGAUUUUUCUGGAAAUAUUUAAAGAUAUCCUAAAAAUAAAUCCAUAUUCCAUAAAAAUUGAAAAAUAAAUUUGAUAUUAUUUUCCAGAAAAAAACACUAAAAAUUAAAUCGAGAUUACCAGAAAUUGGUAAGUUAGUAUAAAACUAACUAUAACGUUAGUUAAAUCAUUAAUUUAAUAGCUAACUAGAACGAAUAUAGCUAUAAAGCUAUCUACAUAGCUAAUUAUAGUGUUUAUAUGAAAACUAUGGUUUAUUAUGGCUUCCGCAUGCUUUUUAUACAUCAACUUCUUUAAAAUUAGGUUUAUUAGAAUCUCCAACUCUAGUAUCCAUAUCCUUAAUAUAUUUUAUAAUAUUUUCUCCGUUAUUAUGAACAAUAUUUUUCUUAUUAAAGCUAACUCUAGGAAGUAUUUUUUCUUUAUUUAUAUUGUCAAAAAGAAUACUAUCCGCUAAAAUGUCAUAUCUACAGUUAGUAAGACCGAAUAAAUAGCUAUUUAAUCUAAGAACUAAAUGUGAAAGCAAAUGACGUUUAGUAGUACUUCCUCCGCUAAUUUCAACAUUUAAAUAAUAUUUAAAUUCGCAUACAAUAUUACUUCAAGUGUAACCGUUAAAAAUAAAUAAACAGUGUUUAAUAUCAUAUUCUCCCUUAAUAACAUUUAUUCUUCCUUUUAUAACAGAGUUUAAGUAACCCUCAAGGUUCGCGCUUUUAAAGGUAUAAGGAUUAUUAAUAGGACUAAUUAACUCAUACUCUUUUUCAAAAUUAAUAAUAUUAUUAUAAAACUCCUUAUUUACACAAUCAUGGUUAUUAACAUAAAUAAUUUUAAUUCGAUUAAUUCCCAUUAAAUAAAAAAAAGUGGCUAGUGUUUUCAUAUCCACUGUGAUAUCAUUUUUUAAAAAAGCAGAAUAAGCAAUUACAUUCCCAAUAUUCUUAUUAAUAUUUGAUUCGCUAAUUUUACUAAAACAAGUAAGGAUCGCAUCCUUAGGUAUUACAAAUUCACAUUUCAUUUUUUUUUAUUUUUUUACAUAUUUAUAAAUCAAAAGAGGUUAAAUCUACCUCUAAACUCAAAGGGAUUAUGUAUCCAAAACAUUUUUAUCGCAACAAAGUACAGCUAUCUAUACUAGUAUAAGUACUACAAAAAAAAAAAUAAUUUUAUUUUUGUUUUUUUUCGCACUGCUUAGAACGUGGUAAGUGUAUUACGGUAUAAAAAAAUAAUAAAAACUCUUUGAUUAGUUAAGAGUAUUAAAUCAUGGUAAAAUAGUUAAAAACCUUUAUUAAGGCACAUAUAAAUCCACUCCCUCUAAGAUAAUCAAUUAAAUUGUUACAAGAGGUAAAUAUCUUUAUCUUUCAGUAGUGUAGAUAUAAAGACUUAUGAGGAUGAUAGACAACCAUCUCAAUAUUCAUAGCCAUAUCAAAUUAGGACGAAGUACGUAAUACUUCGUCUUUGUAGUCCAGAAAAUAAUUUGAAUCCCUAUAAGCAGUGAUUAUGCAGACAAACAAGUAGUCCGAAAAGUUAAUAAACCUUCUAAUUAAUCGAAGUAUACUGUGAUAUAGAGGUUUGAUACAUUAACAAUAGUCAAAUAGUGUUGAGGGGUAUUAGUAAUAAUUUAUAGUACAGUUUCCGCCUCGCAAUAUAAAAGUGUGUAUACCUCCCUUUUAAUUAAAAAGUAUUAAUACUUUUAAUUAAAAGGCCUGCUAUAUAACACAUAAAAAUAUAUAAUUAAAUAUAUAAUAUAUUAAUAUUAAUAUUAUUAUUAUUAUCCCUAUAUGUGUAUUAAGUAAAUAUAAUAUAUUUUUAU
rnacentral:sRNA from 1 species